GGCCUCCUGGUGCCACCACAGGCUGUGUGCUUACACUGGCUGUGCAGAAACCGGAGGCAGAGUAAACUUCCCCACGGACACCUCAGCUCAGGCGCUCUGCCUGGUCUGUACUGUGAAUGGGGACACAUUG